rnacentral:rRNA from 1 species
GUCUUCUAGACGAGCCUAUUAGAAGUCCGGCCUGCCCAGUGAUAAUUUCAACGGCCGCGGUAACCUGACCGUGCUAAGGUAGCGCAAUCACUUGCCCUUUAAUUGGGGGCUAGUAUGAAUGGCCAGACAAGGGCUUUACUGUCUCAAAAGACGUAACUGAAAAUUGACCUUUAGGUGCAGAGGCCUAAAUUCUAGUGAAAGACAAGAAGACCCUAUCGAGCUUUAAUUUUACUCAUUUCUCUAAAUGAAAUAAAUUUUUAUUGGGGCAAUAAAGGCGCAAACAAAGCCGCCUUUAAUAUUUACAUUAGUUAUAUAAAAUUAUAAGAGAAACAUUUUUAGUGCGCACAAGCAUAAGCUACCGUAGGGAUAACAGACUAAUUUUCCUCGAGAGUCCACAUUGACAGGAAAGUUUGGCACCUCGAUGUUGGCUUAAAAAACAGUUAUUGAAGCAGCACUCUAACCCCGUAGGUUUGUUCAACCUUUAAAAUUUUA